rnacentral:rRNA from 1 species
GGUUAAGCGACUAAGCGUACACGGUGGAUGCCCUGGCAGUCAGAGGCGAUGAAGGACGUGCUAAUCUGCGAUAAGCGUCGGUAAGGUGAUAUGAACCGUUAUAACCGGCGAUUUCCGAAUGGGGAAACCCAGUGUGUUUCGACACACUAUCAUUAACUGAAUCCAUAGGUUAAUGAGGCGAACCGGGGAACUGAAACAUCUAAGUACCCCGAGGAAAAGAAAUCAACCGAGAUUCCCCCAGUAGCGGCGAGCGAACGGGGAGCAGCCCAGAGCCUGAAUCAGUGUGUGUGUUAGUGGAAGCGUCUGGAAAGGCGCGCGAUACAGGGUGACAGCCCCGUACACAAAAAUGCACAUACUGUGAGCUCGAUGAGUAGGGCGGGACACGUGGUAUCCUGUCUGAAUAUGGGGGACCAUCCUCCAAGGCUAAAUACUCCUGACUGACCGAUAGUGAACCAGUACCGUGAGGGAAAGGCGAAAAGAACCCCGGCGAGGGAGUGAAAAAGAACCUGAAACCGUGUACGUACAAGCAGUGGGAGCCUCUUAAUGGGGUGACUGCGUACCUUUUGUAUAAUGGGUCAGCGACUUAUAUUCUGUAGCAAGGUUAACCGAAUAGGGGAGCCGAAGGGAAACCGAGUCUUAACUGGGCGUUAAGUUGCAGGGUAUAGACCCGAAACCCGGUGAUCUAGCCAUGGGCAGGUUGAAGGUUGGGUAACACUAACUGGAGGACCGAACCGACUAAUGUUGAAAAAUUAGCGGAUGACUUGUGGCUGGGGGUGAAAGGCCAAUCAAACCGGGAGAUAGCUGGUUCUCCCCGAAAGCUAUUUAGGUAGCGCCUCGUGAAUUCAUCUCCGGGGUAGAGCACUGUUUCGGCAAGGGGUCAUCCCGACUUACCAACCCGAUGCAAACUGCGAAUACCGGAGAAUGUUAUCACGGGAGACACACGGCGGGUGCUAACGUCCGUCGUGAAGAGGGAAACAACCCAGACCGCCAGCUAAGGUCCCAAAGUCAUGGUUAAGUGGGAAACGAUGUGGGAAGGCCCAGACAGCCAGGAUGUUGGCUUAGAAGCAGCCAUCAUUUAAAGAAAGCGUAAUAGCUCACUGGUCGAGUCGGCCUGCGCGGAAGAUGUAACGGGGCUAAACCAUGCACCGAAGCUGCGGCAGCGACACUAUGUGUUGUUGGGUAGGGGAGCGUUCUGUAAGCCUGUGAAGGUGUACUGUGAGGUAUGCUGGAGGUAUCAGAAGUGCGAAUGCUGACAUAAGUAACGAUAAAGCGGGUGAAAAGCCCGCUCGCCGGAAGACCAAGGGUUCCUGUCCAACGUUAAUCGGGGCAGGGUGAGUCGACCCCUAAGGCGAGGCCGAAAGGCGUAGUCGAUGGGAAACAGGUUAAUAUUCCUGUACUUGGUGUUACUGCGAAGGGGGACGGAGAAGGCUAUGUUGGCCGGGCGACGGUUGUCCCGGUUUAAGCGUGUAGGCUGGUUUUCCAGGCAAAUCCGGAAAAUCAAGGCUGAGGCGUGAUGACGAGGCACUACGGUGCUGAAGCAACAAAUGCCCUGCUUCCAGGAAAAGCCUCUAAGCAUCAGGUAACAUCAAAUCGUACCCCAAACCGACACAGGUGGUCAGGUAGAGAAUACCAAGGCGCUUGAGAGAACUCGGGUGAAGGAACUAGGCAAAAUGGUGCCGUAACUUCGGGAGAAGGCACGCUGAUAUGUAGGUGAAGUCCCUUGCGGAUGGAGCUGAAAUCAGUCGAAGAUACCAGCUGGCUGCAACUGUUUAUUAAAAACACAGCACUGUGCAAACACGAAAGUGGACGUAUACGGUGUGACGCCUGCCCGGUGCCGGAAGGUUAAUUGAUGGGGUUAGCGGUAACGCGAAGCUCUUGAUCGAAGCCCCGGUAAACGGCGGCCGUAACUAUAACGGUCCUAAGGUAGCGAAAUUCCUUGUCGGGUAAGUUCCGACCUGCACGAAUGGCGUAAUGAUGGCCAGGCUGUCUCCACCCGAGACUCAGUGAAAUUGAACUCGCUGUGAAGAUGCAGUGUACCCGCGGCAAGACGGAAAGACCCCGUGAACCUUUACUAUAGCUUGACACUGAACAUUGAGCCUUGAUGUGUAGGAUAGGUGGGAGGCUUUGAAGUGUGGACGCCAGUCUGCAUGGAGCCGGCCUUGAAAUACCACCCUUUAAUGUUUGAUGUUCUAACGUUGGCCCCUGAUCGGGGUUGCGGACAGUGUCUGGUGGGUAGUUUGACUGGGGCGGUCUCCUCCUAAAGAGUAACGGAGGAGCACGAAGGUUGGCUAAUCCUGGUCGGACAUCAGGAGGUUAGUGCAAUGGCAUAAGCCAGCUUGACUGCGAGCGUGACGGCGCGAGCAGGUGCGAAAGCAGGUCUAGUGAUCCGGUGGUUCUGAAUGGAAGGGCCAUCGCUCAACGGAUAAAAGGUACUCCGGGGAUAACAGGCUGAUACCGCCCAAGAGUUCAUAUCGACGGCGGUGUUUGGCACCUCGAUGUCGGCUCAUCACAUCCUGGGGCUGAAGUAGGUCCCAAGGGUAUGGCUGUUCGCCAUUUAAAGUGGUACGCGAGCUGGGUUUAGAACGUCGUGAGACAGUUCGGUCCCUAUCUGCCGUGGGCGCUGGAGAACUGAGGGGGCUGCUCCUAGUACGAGAGGACCGGAGUGGACGCAUCACUGGUGUUCGGGUUGUCAUGCCAAUGGCACUGCCCGGUAGCUAAAUGCGGAAGAGAUAAGUGCUGAAAGCAUCUAAGCACGAAACUUGCCCCGAGAUGAGUUCUCCCUGACUCUUUAAGGGUCCUGAAGGAACGUUGAAGACGACGACGUUAAUAGGCCGGGUGUGUAAGCGCAGCGAUGCGUUGAGCUAACCGGUACUAAUGAACCGUGAGGCUUAACCUU